GGUAGAUGAUGUGCAUAUAUUUGCUACUUCGGACAGCACUUGUGUUGGAUGAGACAUAAAAAUAUCACCAAGAUCUCUGAUACC
rfam:Pichia sorbitophila strain CBS 7064 chromosome M complete sequence.